rnacentral:rRNA from 1 species
CGCCUGUUUAACAAAAACAUGUCUUUUUGAUUUUUUUUUAAAGUCUAACCUGCCCAGUGAAUUAAUUUUAACGGCCGCAGUAUUUUGACUGUGCAAAGGUAGCAUAAUCAAUAGUCUUUUAAUUGAAGGCUUGAAUGAAUGGUUGGACGAGAUACUAACUGUUUCAUUUAAAUUUAUAAUAGAAUUUUAUUUUUUAGUCAAAAAGCUAAAAUAAAUUUAAAAGACGAGAAGACCCUAUAAAUCUUUAUAUUUAAUUUAUUAUUAAUUCUUAGACUCUUUUUUUUAUAAUAAUUAUAAUAUUUUAUUGGGGUGAUAUUAAAAUUUAAAAAACUUUUAAUUUUAUUUAACAUUAAUUUAUGAUUUAUUGAUCCAUUAUUAGUGAUUAAAAAAUCAAGUUACUUUAGGGAUAACAGCGUAAUUUUUUUGGAGAGUUCUUAUCGAUAAAAAAUAUUGCGACCUCGAUGUUGGAUUAAGAAAUAAUUUUAGGUGUAGCAGCUUAAAUUUUAAGUCUGUUCGACUUUUAAAUUCUUACAUGC